rnacentral:lncRNA from 1 species
UUAUCAGUUGCAGAAAUCUACUGUUGCUGUUUACCUGAACGGUAAUAUUUACUGUUCUGAGGCUGUGCUUUCACUGAGAACAUGAUAGAAGUUGUCCUCAGAAGAUUGUGGAAAGACUGGGACAGGAAGCUAUGUGGUUUUUCAAAUAGCAAACAGAGCUGAGCGAUCCUUCCUGCACUGCAUAAGAUACAAGUAAGUUCUUUCUGACCACUUCUCCUGUAGCUGUUUGGGGCUGUUAAGUG